rnacentral:ribozyme from 2 species
GAAGUAACUCCGCCUGUGUCUUGAUUAAGGCAUUUAUCUUUACACAGCCGGUCCCAAGCCCGGAUAAAGGAGGAGGGUUGC